UUACGGCCACAGCACGCUGAAACACCAGUUCACGUAAGAUCACCGAAGCUAAGCAACGUCGAGCCUGGUCAGUACCAAGAUGGGUGACCGCUUGGGUAUACCAGGUGCUAUAA